rnacentral:rRNA from 1 species
CCAAAAUUAUAGCCCAUUCAAAAUAUUUACUACAAUAAAUAAAUUAAAAUAUUCUUUCAAUCUAGUAAAGAUGAUUAAAAAAUUACAUUGGAGCACCAUCCUCACCGCAAGGGACAACUGAAAUAGCUCUGAAACAGCCCUUAAGCACAAAAAAGUAGAGAUUCAACCCCGUACCUUUUGCAUCAUGGUUUAACUAGUUUAACUAAGCAAAAAGAUUUAAAGUUUAACCCCCCGAAACUAAGUGAGCUACUUCAAGGCCGCUCCUAGAGCAAACCCGUCUCUGUUGCAAAAGAGUGGGAAGACCUUAAAGUAGAGGUGAUAUACCUACCGAACUUAGUGAUAGCUGGUUGCUCGAGAAAAGAAUUUUAGUUCAACCUAGGAUUACUUUAAUAAUAUUAAAUGCACCCCCAAUCCUAGAGCAAUUCAAAUAAGGUACAGCCUAUUUGAAACAGGAUACAACCUAAACCAACGGGUAAUCUUUAGUACCAAGCAGCCCAGUUGGCCUAAAAGCAGCCACCUCUAAAACAGCGUUAUACCCUAACUGCCUUAAACACCAAUACCAAUACUUCUAAAGAACCCUUCAACCAUAUCGAGCACUUCUAUAUUAUAUAGAAAAUUUUAUGUUAAAACUAGUAACAAGAAGAAAACCUUCUCUAUAAUGCAAGCUUAAGUCAAAAAGGACACACCACUGACACUUACCCAGCCAUGAACCCACAGUAGUACCUCAACAAGAAAAAUCUACUCUCUACUCUGUUGACCUAACACAAGAGCAUUUCAAGAAAGAUUAAAAGAAAAAGAAGGAACUCGGCAAACACCAGUCCCGCCUGUUUACCAAAAACAUCGCCUCUUGCCAAAAAUAAGAGGUCCAGCCUGCCCGGUGACAUCAGUUUAACGGCCGCGGUAUCCUAACCGUGCGAAGGUAGCGUAAUCACUUGUUUUUUAAAUAAAGACUAGUAUGAAAGGCAUCACGAGGACUAAACUGUCUCCUUUUUCUAAUCAGUAAAACUAAUCUCCCCGUGAAGAAGCGAGGAUAUACCUAUAAGACGAGAAGACCCUAUGGAGCUUUAAACACAUGGCAUCUGCUCUUAAAUAUUUCCAUUUUCAGAAACUUAAACAUUUAGCAUAUUGACCAAAAGUUUUAGGUUGGGGCGACCACGGAGAAAAAAUUAACCUCCAUGUUGUAAACUUAGCCAAAAGCCACAUCUUUAAGAAUCAAUAAAUUGACAUUAAUUGACCCACCUUUGUGAUCAACGAACCAAGUUACCCUAGGGAUAACAGCGCAAUCCACUUCGAGAGCUCAUAUCGACAAGUGGGUUUACGACCUCGAUGUUGGAUCAGGGUAAACCAGGUGGUGUAGCCGCUACUAAAGGUUCGUUUGUUCAACGAUUAAACCCCUACGUGAUCUGAGUUCAGACCGGAGUAAUCCAGGUCAGUUUCUAUCUAUAAAAGGAUCCUCCCAGUACGAAAGGACCGGAGAAUCGUGGCCUACUAAAUAUUUGAGCCACAUCCCCCUAUUUUUGACAUCAACUUAAAAAUACCACCC